AACGAACGCUGGCGGCAUGCCUAACACAUGCAAGUCGAACGAGACCUUCGGGUCUAGUGGCGCACGGGUGCGUAACGCGUGGGAACCUGCCCUUAGGUUCGGAAUAACUCCCCGAAAGGGGUGCUAAUACCGGAUAAUGUCUUCGGACCAAAGAUUUAUCGCCUUUGGAUGGGCCCGCGUUGGAUUAGCUAGUUGGUAGAGUAAAAGCCUACCAAGGCGACGAUCCAUAGCUGGUCUGAGAGGAUGAUCAGCCACACUGGGGCUGAGACACGGCCCAGACUCCUACGGGAGGCAGCAGUGGGGAAUAUUGGACAAUGGGCGAAAGCCUGAUCCAGCAAUGCCGCGUGAGUGAUGAAGGCCUUAGGGUUGUAAAGCUCUUUUACCCGGGAUGAUAAUGACAGUACCGGGAGAAUAAGCUCCGGCUAACUCCGUG
rnacentral:rRNA from 1 species